rnacentral:rRNA from 1 species
UACGAACUGUGCGAACGUUAUUCGGAUUCACUGGGCUUAAAGGGUGCGUAGGCGGCCGAUUAAGUAGGGUGUGAAAGCCCCCGGCUCAACCGGGGAAUGGCGCCCUAAACUGGCCGGCUGGAGUGAGACAGGGGUGUGCGGAACUUCCGGUGGAGCGGUGAAAUGUGUUGAUAUCGGAAGGAACGCCGGUGGCGAAAGCGGCACACUGGGUCUCAACUGACGCUGAGGCACGAAAGCCAGGGUAGCGAACGGG